GGAAGGAUCAUUAUUGAAAUAAACCUGAUGGGUUGUUGCUGGUUCUCUAGGGAGCAUGUGCACGCCUUGUCACCUUUAUAUCUCCACCUGUGCACCUUUUGUAGACCUCUUCAGGUCUAUGUUGCUUCAUUUACCCCAACGUAUGUCAAUAGAAUGUUGUGCCUAUAUAUAAUAUA
rnacentral:misc_RNA from 1 species